UUGCAUAGUCACAAAAGUGUUC
rnacentral:miRNA from 1 species